rnacentral:rRNA from 1 species
GACUAAGGAAAUAAGGGUGUAUGGUGGAUGCCUUGGCACCAGAAGACGAAGAAGGACGUGGUAAGCUGCGAUAAGCUUCGGGGAGCUGCAAACAAGCCUUGAUCCGGAGAUUUCCGAAUGGGAAAACCUAUCCAAGGUCAUGCUUGGAUGUCUUUUUUAAGACGACAACGCAGGGAACUGAAACAUCUUAGUACCUGCAGGAAAAGAAAGUAAAAACGAUUCCCUGAGUAGCGGCGAGCGAACGGGGAAUAGCCUAAACUCAUUGCAUGUAAGCUUCGGAGCGUUGUGUAAUGAGGGUCGCGGGACCAGAAUAGCAGAUUCCGAAUAUGCUGCAGGAAUGUUUUUCAGGAUAGUCGAAGUUGAUGGGAAACAAUACCAAAGAGGGUGAUAGUCCUGUAGACGAAAUCUUGAAAAUGCCUGUCUGGCACCCAAGUAGUGCGGUCCACGUGGAAGACCGUAUGAAUCAGGGAGGACCACCUCCUAAGGCUAAAUACUCUCUGGUGACCGAUAGUGAACCAGUACCGUGAGGGAAAGGUGAAAAGGACCCCAGUGAGGGGAGUUAAAAGACCCUGAAACCAUACACUUACAAGCUGUAGGAGCUCCGCAAGGAGUGACUGCGUGCCUUUUGCAUAAUGAACCGACGAGUUGCUUGUACGUAGCGUUAGGUUAAGAAUAUUUAAUUCGGAGCCGUAGCGAAAGCGAGUCCUAAAUGGGCGUUUAGUUGCGUGCAGCAGACCCGAAGCCAGGUGAUCUACCCAUGAGCAGCGUGAAACCUUUGUAAAAGAAGGUGGAGGUGCGAACCAGUUGAGGUUAAAUUCUCUUUGGAUGACUUGUGGGUAGGAGUGAAAGGCCAAUCAAACCUGGAGAUAGCUGGUUCUCCCCGAAAUAUAUAUAGGUAUAGCCUCGUGGAUUGACUGACGGAGGUAGAGCACUGAAUGGGCUAGGGGGCCUACAAGCCUACCGACCCCAACCAAACUCCGAAUGCCGUUAGUUCGUACCAUGGGAGUCAGGCUGUGGGGGAUAAGCUUCAUAGCCGAGAGGGAAACAACCCAGAUCACCAAAUAAGGCCCCUAAAUGUAUGCUAAGUGAUAAAGGAUGUGCAUUUACACAAACAACCAGGAUGUUGGCUUAGAAGCAGCCAUUCAUUCAAAGAGUGCGUAAUAGCUCACUGGUCUAGUGAUUGUGUGCCAAUGAUGAUAGGGACUAAGCAUACUGCCGAAUUUGUGGGAUCUCCUUUAAAGAGAUCGGUAGGGGAGCGUUCCAUUCAGCAGGGAAGCCAUACCGUAAGGUUGCUACUUUCGGGUAGCUAUAAAUGGUGGAGCGGAUGGAAGUGAUCAUGUCGGUAUUAGUAACGAUAAAAUGGGUGAAAAACCCGUUCACCGAAAGCCUAAGGUUUCCUGAGUUAAGCUAAUCUGCUCAGGGUUAGUCGGUCCCUAAGGCGAGGCCGAAAGGCGUAGUCGAUGGCAAAUUGGUUAAUAUUCCAAUACCACUUUUGAGACGUUUGAGCUAUGGGGGGACGCAGUAGGAUAGGUCCAUCCGGGAUUGGAAGUCCGGGUGUAAGCUCAUAGGGUUGUUGCUUUGGCAAAUCCGGGCAACUAUAAGCCUGAAAAGCAAUGCGAAGGGCGAAAGCCCACAAAAGGAUCGAGUCCACACUGCCGAGAAAAGCCUCUAUGCGAGUCGAUAAGGUGACCGUACCAUAAACGGACACACGUAGGCGAGGAGAGUAUCCAAAGGUGCUCGAGAGAACCCUGGUUAAGGAACUCGGCAAAAUUACCCCGUAACUUCGGGAGAAGGGGAACCGCAUUAGCGUGAUCUGUAAUAUGUGAGCGCGAAGCGGUCGCAGUGAAAAGGCCCAAGCGACUGUUUACCAAAAACUCAUGACUCUGCUAAGUCGAAAGACGAUGUAUAGGGUCUGACACCUGCCCAGUGCUGGAAGGUUAAGAGGAGGGGUUAGCGCAAGCGAAGCUCUGAAUUGAAGCCCCAGUAAACGGCGGCAGUAACUAUAACUGUCCUAAGGUAGCGAAAUUCCUUGUCGGGUAAGUUCCGACCCGCACGAAUGGUGUAACGAUUUGGGCGCUGUCUCAACCAGGGACUCGGUGAAUUUGCAGUAGCGGUGAAGAUACCGCUUACCCGCGGCAGGACAGAAAGACCCCGUGAACCUUUACUGCAGUUUGAUAUUGGGUUUUGGCAAGGCAUGUGUAGGAUAGGUGGGAGACUAUGAAGUGGGGACGCAAGUCUCUGUGGAGUCAACCUUGAAAUACCACCCUUGUUUUGCUGGGAUUCUAACCUGGCGUGUGUAACGCUGGGAACAGUGUCAGAUGGGCAGUUUGACUGGGGCGGUCGCCUCCCAAAAUGUAACGGAGGCGCCCAAAGGUUUCCUCAGUGCGGUUGGUAACCGCACGUCGAGCGCAAAGGCAUAAGGAAGCUUAACUGCGAGACAAACAAGUCGAGCAGAUGCGAAAGCAGGGCUUAGUGAUCCGCUAGUUCCAAGUGGAAGGGCUAGUGCUCAUCGGAUAAAAGGUACUCCGGGGAUAACAGGCUGAUAGCCGCCAAUAGUUCACAUAGACGCGGCUGUUUGGCACCUCGAUGUCGGCUCAUCUCAUCCUGGGGCUGAAGGAGGUCCCAAGGGUUUGGCUGUUCGCCAAUUAAAGAGGUACGCGAGCUGGGUUCAGAACGUCGUGAGACAGUUCGGUCCCGAUCCGCCGUGGGCGUUGGAAAUCUGAGAGGAUCUGCAUUUAGUACGAGAGGACCAUUGUGGGCGAACCUCUGGUGUACCAGUUGUUCCGCCAGGAGCAUUGCUGGGUAGCUAAGUUCGUAAGGGAUAAGCGCUGAAAGCAUCUAAGUGCGAAACCCACCUCAAGAAGAGAUUUCCCUUCAGCGAAAGCUGGCUAAAGACUCCUUGUAGACUACAAGGUUGAUAGGUCACAGGUGUAAGCAUGGUAACAUGUUCAGCCGAGUGAUACUAAUAAAGUCGUGCGACUUAGUCGC